AGCACGGGGGCUUGCUCCUGGUGGCGAGUGGCGAACGGGUGAGUAACGCGUCGGAACGUACCGAGUAAUGGGGGAUAACGCAGCGAAAGCUGUGCUAAUACCGCAUACGCCCUGAGGGGGAAAGUGGGGGAUCGCAAGACCUCACGUUAUUCGAGCGGCCGACGUCUGAUUAGCUUGUUGGUGAGGUAAUGGCUCACCAAGGCGACGAUCAGUAGCGGGUCUGAGAGGAUGAUCCGUCACACUGGAACUGAGACACGGUCCAGACUCCUACGGGAGGCAGCAGUGGGGAAUUUUGGACAAUGGGGGCAACCCUGAUCCAGCCAUUCCGCGUGAGUGAAGAAGGCCUUCGGGUUGUAAAGCUCUUUCAGCCGGAACGAAACGGUACAUCUUAAUACGGUGUGCUAAUGACGGUACCGGCAGAAGAAGCACCGGCUAACUACGUGCCAGCAGCCGCGGUAAUACGUAGGGUGCGAGCGUUAAUCGGAAUUGCUGGGCGUAAAGCGUGCGCAGGCGGAUUGUUAAGCAAGAUGUGAAAUCCCCGGGCUUAACCUGGGAAUGGCAUUUUGAACUGGCAGUCUAGAGUGUGUCA
rnacentral:rRNA from 1 species